AGUGCAAUUACUGGAUCAUAUGGUAAGAGUAUGUUUCAUUUUGUAAGAAACUGCCAGACUGUAUUCCAAAAUAGCUGUACCACUUUGCAUUCCCAUUAGCAGU
rnacentral:pre_miRNA from 1 species